ACGAACCAAUUAGGGCACAGUUAUCUACACGCAUUGGACGAACAAGAAAUUUGUAGGUUUCAACGGCCAGAUGAAUCGUGGUGUUUAGCUCUGAAAUUGCAAAAUCUAUGGAUCUAAUUUUAAAUUCGAGUUCAGUGAUAAUGUAGACCUCAGAUGAACUAUCGACUCGAUGCAACCAGUUGAAUUACUUCACAGGGGAACUGAAAGCUGAAGGCAGAAAGAACGAAGAAUAGUAAUGCCAGUUUCGUAGAAUUACUUCACAUUGGGAUGGGAAUGAGAUGGAGAUCGUCGCAUGGGUUAUUAUUCGGUGAUGGCGCCUUUCAUCUUGCUUCAGGACUGGAUGUUGGUAAAGUAAUGGAAAUUGAGAACGUCUCAAUUGAAUCCCUCGAGUUAAGUGAGGGAUUUUCUGUCUUCCGACUCAUUUCCAUGGCCAGACAAUCCCUUGUGGUUUAUUUUCGGCCUACUGCUUGAAUUUGAAGACACGCAAGCCGUUGCUAUUUCUACCGAUUUCCAAACGGAGUUGGAGUCGAAUUCCCCUUUUAGUCUUGAGUCGAUUACGUUCCUGAUGUCUCCUUGCGAAAUCAUGGUGGUCGCCCAUUGAAUUAUGUGAACAUUUUGCUGAGCUCUGGAAAUCACUGGUCUGCAAGUAAUUAUCUUCAACAAUACUACUCCGAAGCUAUAAACAUCACUUUUCUCAGUCAGUCGGUUUGAGAUGUAGUAUCUGCAUGUCCGACGUAGAGUAAGAUUUGAGCUGUAUUUAAUCUGUAUCUGUUUCCCUUUGGGUGACUCACGGAGUUUUUGGUUCCUUAGGAAAUUGGUAUGAUUAAUAGUUGGAACUGAAUCUGGUACUUACUCUGGAUCAAAGUAACCAGGAGUGCCAGCCUCAAUUGUGGACAUGUGAGUCUUGCGACCAUCAUUUGGGAAACUCUUGGAGAGUCCGAAAUCUGCAAGUUUUGCUUGUAAAUUGUCUGUUAGCAAGAUGUUUGUUGUUUUGACAUCUCUGUGGACCAUGGGUGGCUGACAACCAUGAUGCAGGUCACACUUACCUCUGUUUGAAAUUGCUGAUAACUGUGAGCUGAUAGUGGAGAUAGCAUCUUUACAGCUACUUGAACAUCAUCUGUAACUUUAUGAUCCAAAAGAUAACUGCAGCCACUAUGAGGACGCCAAACAAUCCACCAACUGACACCACAACAGGUACAACGAAACUUUUCUUCUUCCCCUUUGCACACGAGUCUGAGGCGCAUGCACCAUCAAGAUUUGGAUUAUCUUCCACACUGUCGUAAAAGCAUAUCAUUAGAAGAUGGGCUGGAACCUUUUUUGUUCAAUAUAUUCUUCAAUGUUAUUUUGAAGUAUCCAGACUAAAAAAAAAAACACUGUGGUAUAUUCCACUUAGAACAGAUCUUAAUUUUAGUGAACCAUUAUUCACAUUUUUUUUGGAGUUCAGGUGGAAGUGGACCGGUGAGGUUGUUUUUUGUCUAACUUUCUGUGAAGGGUAAAAAAAAAUCGUUUUUGUCUAAUUUUCCAAGUAAAUUACAUGACUUUGAGGCUUUUCAUAUUGGCCAAGAAAUCAGGUACAUUUCCUGAUAGGCUAUUACUCGACAAGUCUCUGAAAACAAAA